UACGGAGGGUGCAAGCGUUGUCCGGAUUUAUUGGGUUUAAAGGGCUCGUAGGUGGCCAACUAAGUCAGACGUGAAAUCCCUCGGCUUAACCGGGGAACUGCGUCUGAUACUGGAUGGCUUGAGUUUGGGAGAGGGACGCGGAAUUCCAGGUGUAGCGGUGAAAUGCGUAGAUAUCUGGAGGAACACCGGUGGCGAAGGCGGCGUCCUGGACCAACACUGACACUGAGGAGCGAAAGCCAGGGGAGCAAACGGG
rnacentral:rRNA from 1 species